rnacentral:rRNA from 1 species
UUUAAAGUUCUUAAAGUGCAUGAUUGUUUUCCCAAUGCAAGUAUUGCAUAUAGAGUUCUUCUGACCAUCCCUGUGACCACGGAACGAAGCUUUCCGAAAUUGAAGCUAUUGAAAUCUUAUAUGCACACUACCAUGACACAACAAAGACUUACUGAUUUGGCCACAAUAGCACCUGAGGGUGAAGUAUUGGAGAAUAUUGAUUACGAGGAUAUUAUUAAAGAUUUUAUUUCAAGGAACACUAAAAGAAUGAUGCUAUUUAAGUGA